rnacentral:piRNA from 1 species
GAUAAGGUUUGUGUCUCCUGGCUGAGGGUCU